UACGUAGGUGGCAAGCGUUGUCCGGAUUUACUGGGCGUAAAGGGCGUGCAGGCGGUCUGUUAAGUGCAGGGUGAAAGCUCCCGGCUCAACUGGGAGAGGUCCUUGCAUACUGGCGGACUUGAGGGGGGUAGAGGAAAGUGGAAUUCCUGGUGUAGCGGUGGAAUGCGCAGAUAUCAGGAGGAACACCGAUGGCGAAGGCAGCUCGCUGGGACGGUACUGACGCUAAGGCGCGAAAGCGUGGGGAGCGAACAGG
rnacentral:rRNA from 1 species